rnacentral:lncRNA from 1 species
UCAGUUUUUCUUAUUCUCUUACAUAUUUUUCUCUAGUUUGUUUUUCAUCGACAACACUCGUUUCUUGCUCAAUAUCUUUUCUCUCUUCAAUUUCAAUCUCUUUUCCAAUUUUGUUUUCUUUUUCACAUUUUUGUUUACUCUCAAACUCUUUUUGCUUUCUCUCUCCCUCUUUUUCUUUCAUUUCUUUUUUUUUCUCAAUUUCAUUUGAGAUCCGCUCAUUCUUGUGCAUUAUCAUUUCUUGCCUCACACUUCUUUUUGUUUCUUUGUUUUUUUGCUUCGUUCUUUCAUUUGCAAGAUGAUG